GUGGGGAAUAUUGGACAAUGGGGGGAACCCUGAUCCAGCCAUGCCGCGUGUGUGAAGAAGGCCUUUUGGUUGUAAAGCACUUUAAGCGAGGAGGAGGCUACCGAGAUUAAUACUCUUGGAUAGUGGACGUUACUCGCAGAAUAAGCACCGGCUAACUCUGUGCCAGCAGCCGCGGUAAUACAGAGGGUGCAAGCGUUAAUCGGAUUUACUGGGCGUAAAGCGCGCGUAGGUGGCCAAUUAAGUCAAAUGUGAAAUCCCCGAGCUUAACUUGGGAAUUACAUUCGAUACUGGUUGGCUAGAGUAUGGGAGAGGAUGGUAGAAUUCCAGGUGUAGCGGUGAAAUGCGUAGAGAUCUGGAGGAAUACCGAUGGCGAAGGCAGCCAUCUGGCCUAAUACUGACACUGAGGUGCGAAAGCAUGGGGAGCAAACAGGAUUAGAUACCCGGGUAGUCC
rnacentral:rRNA from 1 species